AGUGAACGCUGGCGGUAGGCCUAACACAUGCAAGUCGAACGGCAGCACCGUAAGAGCUUGCUCUUACGCGAGGCGAGUGGCGGACGGGUGAGGAAUACAUCGGCAUCUACUUUUUCGUGGGGGAUACCGUAGGGAAACUUACGCUAAUACCGCAUCCGCCCUACGGGUGAAAGCAGGGGAUCUUCGGACCUUGCGCGAUUGCAUGCGCCGAUGUCGUUUUGGCUAGUUGGCGGGGUAAAGGCCCACCCAGGCGACGAUCCGUAGCUGGUCUGAGAGGAGGAUCGGCCACACUGGAGCUGGAACACGGUCCAGACGCCUACGGGAGGGAGCAGUGGGGAAUGGUAGACAAUAGGGGCAAACCUGGUCCAGCCAUAGCGAGUGGGUGGAGAAGGCGUUCGGGGUGUAAAGCCGGUUUGUUGGGAAAGAAAAGCAGCAGGUUAAUACCCCGCUUUUCUGACGGUACCCAAAGAAUAAGCACCGGCUAACUUCGUG
rnacentral:rRNA from 1 species